AGUCCAUUGUGCCCGUGAAAAUGCGCGCUGGCCACGCUAGGCUAAAAAAUAUUAGAAAGCCUACGGCUUAAUUUANGUAUAAUACCUGUAUAACAACUGUAUAACAACUGUACUGUUACAACUACUUCUGUGUGGGUUUAAGCUUACAGUCGGGUGUCGGUUCGGGCCAUAUAACACUCUUAGCAGCGUAGGACUAGCAAAUAAAGACUCGUUCACUGUAGCCCACAGGGCGAGUGUCCUAGUGGGGAUGCCUUGGACUAUUUGCUAAUCUGAAACAGCCUAGAAGGUCAUGACCGACCGGCCUCGGUCAUCACGACAGCACCUGGCGGCUCUGCGCUCCCUUAUGGGAGCGCAACUCUUGCCAGCAGUCGUUCAUUCUACGGAUGCCGGACGGGACGGUCAUUGACCCCUGUACGCACUGGAGAUCGGGGAGGCGUCUGCACUGUAUCUUACCAAGGAGGGCGGUCCAGCCUGCCUGGGCUGGCCGCUGGGUGGAUAUGACGCCGGAGGGGCAGCCUAUACUUGGGCAGUAAAAUUAGCUUAAACCUGCAUGCGUUGAUUUAUACAAAAUACAAGAGCUGGGCCUAAGAUAAAGUCCAUUGCGCCCGUGAAAACGCGCGCUGGCCACCCUAGGCUUAAAAAAUAUUAGGGAGCCUGCGGCUUAAUUUGACUCAACACGGGGAAACUCACCAGGUCCAGACACAACGAGGAUUGACAGAUUGAGAGCUCUUUCUUGAUUUUGUGGGUGGUGGUGCAUGGCCGUUCUUAGUUGGUGGAGUGAUUUGUCUGCUUAAUUGCGAUAACGAACGAGACCUUAACCUGCUAAAUAGCCCGUAUUGCUUUGGCAGUACGCCGGCUUCUUAGAGGGACUAUCGGCUCAAGCCGAUGGAAGUUUGAGGCAAUAACAGGUCUGUGAUGCCCUUAGAUGUUCUGGGCCGCACGCGCGCUACACUGACACAGCCAGCGAGUUCUUCCUUGGCCGAAAGGCCCGGGUAAUCUUGUUAAACUGUGUCGUGCUGGGGAUAGAGCAUUGCAAUUAUUGCUCUUCAACGAGGAAUCCCUAGUAAGCGCAAGUCAUCAGCUUGCGUUGAUUACGUCCCUGCCCUUUGUACACACCGCCCGUCGCUACUACCGAUUGGAUGGCUCAGUGAGGCCUUCGGACUGGCCCAGGGAGGUGGGCAACUACCACCCAGGGCCGGAAAGUUGUACGAACUCGGCCAUUUAGAGGAAGUAAAAGUCGUAACAAGGUCUCCGUUGGUGAACCAGCGGAGG
rnacentral:rRNA from 1 species